rnacentral:rRNA from 1 species
UUAAGCGACUAAGCGUACACGGUGGAUGCCCUGGCAGUCAGAGGCGAUGAAGGACGUGCUAAUCUGCGAAAAGCGUCGGUAAGGUGAUAUGAACCGUUAUAACCGGCGAUGUCCGAAUGGGGAAACCCAGUGCAAUUCGUUGCACUAUCGUUAACUGAAUACAUAGGUUAACGAGGCGAACCGGGGGAACUGAAACAUCUAAGUACCCCGAGGAAAAGAAAUCAACCGAGAUUCCCCCAGUAGCGGCGAGCGAACGGGGAGCAGCCCAGAGUCUGAAUCAGCUUGUGUGUUAGUGGAACGGUCUGGAAAGUCCGACGGUACAGGGUGAUAGUCCCGUACACCAAAAUGCACAGGCUGUGAACUCGAAGAGUAGGGCGGGACACGUGGUAUCCUGUCUGAAUAUGGGGGGACCAUCCUCCAAGGCUAAAUACUCCUGACUGACCGAUAGUGAACCAGUACCGUGAGGGAAAGGCGAAAAGAACCCCGGCGAGGGGAGUGAAAAAGAACCUGAAACCGUGUACGUACAAGCAGUGGGAGCACCUUCGGGUGUGACUGCGUACCUUUUGUAUAAUGGGUCAGCGACUUAUAUUCUGUAGCAAGGUUAACCGUAUAGGGGAGCCGCAGGGAAACCGAGUCUUAACUGGGCGUUAAGUUGCAGGGUAUAGACCCGAAACCCGGUGAUCUAGCCAUGGGCAGGUUGAAGGUUGGGUAACACUAACUGGAGGACCGAACCGACUAAUGUUGAAAAAUUAGCGGAUGACUUGUGGCUGGGGGUGAAAGGCCAAUCAAACCGGGAGAUAGCUGGUUCUCCCCGAAAGCUAUUUAGGUAGCGCCUCGUGAAUUCAUCUUCGGGGGUAGAGCACUGUUUCGGCUAGGGGGUCAUCCCGACUUACCAACCCGAUGCAAACUACGAAUACCGAAGAAUGUUAUCACGGGAGACACACGGCGGGUGCUAACGUCCGUCGUGAAGAGGGAAACAACCCAGACCGCCAGCUAAGGUCCCAAAGUCAUGGUUAAGUGGGAAACGAUGUGGGAAGGCACAGACAGCCAGGAUGUUGGCUUAGAAGCAGCCAUCAUUUAAAGAAAGCGUAAUAGCUCACUGGUCGAGUCGGCCUGCGCGGAAGAUGUAACGGGGCUAAACCAUGCACCGAAGCUGCGGCAGCGACACUAUGUGUUGUUGGGUAGGGGAGCGUUCUGUAAGCCUGCGAAGGUGACCUGUGAGGGUUGCUGGAGGUAUCAGAAGUGCGAAUGCUGACAUAAGUAACGAUAAAGCGGGUGAAAAGCCCGCUCGCCGGAAGACCAAGGGUUCCUGUCCAACGUUAAUCGGGGCAGGGUGAGUCGACCCCUAAGGCGAGGCCGAAAGGCGUAGUCGAUGGGAAACAGGUUAAUAUUCCUGUACUUGGUGUUACUGCGAAGGGGGGACGGAGAAGGCUAUGUUAGCCGGGCGACGGUUGUCCCGGUUUAAGCAUGUAGGCUGGUUAUCCAGGCAAAUCCGGAUAAUCAAGGCUGAGGUGUGAUGACGAGGCACUACGGUGCUGAAGUAACAAAUGCCCUGCUUCCAGGAAAAGCCUCUAAGCAUCAGGUAACAUGAAAUCGUACCCCAAACCGACACAGGUGGUCAGGUAGAGAAUACCAAGGCGCUUGAGAGAACUCGGGUGAAGGAACUAGGCAAAAUGGUGCCGUAACUUCGGGAGAAGGCACGCUGGUGUGUAGGUGAAGCCCCUGCGGGUGGAGCUGAGACCAGUCGAAGAUACCAGCUGGCUGCAACUGUUUAUUAAAAACACAGCACUGUGCAAACACGAAAGUGGACGUAUACGGUGUGACGCCUGCCCGGUGCCGGAAGGUUAAUUGAUGGGGUUAUCCGUAAGGAGAAGCUCUUGAUCGAAGCCCCGGUAAACGGCGGCCGUAACUAUAACGGUCCUAAGGUAGCGAAAUUCCUUGUCGGGUAAGUUCCGACCUGCACGAAUGGCGUAAUGAUGGCCAGGCUGUCUCCACCCGAGACUCAGUGAAAUUGAACUCGCUGUGAAGAUGCAGUGUACCCGCGGCAAGACGGAAAGACCCCGUGAACCUUUACUAUAGCUUGACACUGAACAUUGAGCCUUGAUGUGUAGGAUAGGUGGGAGGCUUUGAAGCGUGGACGCCAGUCUGCGUGGAGCCAACCUUGAAAUACCACCCUUUAAUGUUUGAUGUUCUAACGUUGGCCCCUUAUCGGGGUUGCGGACAGUGUCUGGUGGGUAGUUUGACUGGGGCGGUCUCCUCCCAAAGCGUAACGGAGGAGCACGAAGGUUAGCUAAUCCUGGUCGGACAUCAGGAGGUUAGUGCAAUGGCAUAAGCUAGCUUGACUGCGAGCGUGACGGCGCGAGCAGGUGCGAAAGCAGGUCAUAGUGAUCCGGUGGUUCUGAAUGGAAGGGCCAUCGCUCAACGGAUAAAAGGUACUCCGGGGAUAACAGGCUGAUACCGCCCAAGAGUUCAUAUCGACGGCGGUGUUUGGCACCUCGAUGUCGGCUCAUCACAUCCUGGGGCUGAAGUAGGUCCCAAGGGUAUGGCUGUUCGCCAUUUAAAGUGGUACGCGAGCUGGGUUUAGAACGUCGUGAGACAGUUCGGUCCCUAUCUGCCGUGGGCGCUGGAGAAUUGAGGGGGGCUGCUCCUAGUACGAGAGGACCGGAGUGGACGCAUCACUGGUGUUCGGGUUGUCAUGCCAAUGGCACUGCCCGGUAGCUAAAUGCGGAAGAGAUAAGUGCUGAAAGCAUCUAAGCACGAAACUUGCCCCGAGAUGAGUUCUCCCUGAGACUUUAAGUCUCCUGAAGGAACGUUAAAGACGAUGACGUUGAUAGGCCGGGUGUGUAAGCGCAGCGAUGCGUUGAGCUAACCGGUACUAAUGAACCGUGAGGCUUAACCU